rnacentral:rRNA from 1 species
AACGAACGCUGGCGGCAGGCUUAACACAUGCAAGUCGAGCGCCCCGCAAGGGGAGCGGCAGACGGGUGAGUAACGCGUGGGAAUCUACCCAUCUCUACGGAAUAACGCAUGGAAACGUGUGCUAAUACCAUAUACGUCCUUCGGGAGAACGAUCUAUCGGAGAUGGAUGAGCCCGCGUUGGAUUAGCUAGUUGGUGGGGUAAAGGCCUACCAAGGAGACGAUCCAUAGCUGGUCUGAGAGGAUGAUCAGCCACACUGGGACUGAGACACGGCCCAGACUCCUACGGGAGGCAGCAGUGGGGAAUAUUGGACAAUGGGCGCAAGCCUGAUCCAGCCAUGCCGCGUGAGUGAUGAAGGCCCUAGGGUUGUAAAGCUCUUUCACCGGUGAAGAUAAUGACGGUAACCGGAGAAGAAGCCCCGGCUAACUUCGUGCCAGCCGCCGCAGUAAUAC